rnacentral:rRNA from 1 species
UACGUAGGGACCGAGCGUUGUCCGGAAUCAUUGGGCGUAAAGGGCGCGUAGGCGGCCUUCUAAGUCGAACGUGAAAUCCCCGGGCUCAACCCGGGAACUGCGUCCGAUACUGGAAGGCUUGAAUCCGGGAGAGGGAUGCGGAAUUCCAGGUGUAGCGGUGAAAUGCGUAGAUAUCUGGAGGAACACCGGUGGCGAAGGCGGCAUCCUGGACCGGCAUUGACGCGUGAGGCGCGAAAGCCAGGGGAGCAAAGCGGG